UGUGAGAGAAAAAUAUUAUUGGGCUGGCUAGAGCUGGAGCUGGUGGCUGGAGUGGUGUGAGAAGAAAAUACUGUUGGGCUGGAGCUGGAGCUGGAGCUGGAGCUGGAGCUGGAGCUGGCUGCCGAACGGAGUGAUUGAAUGUGCAAACAUUUUACUUGACAUAAAUGGAACCGUGAAGGUUGGAGAUUUUGGACUGGCAAAGCUGGUUGUUUUUUUCUCUCUCUCUUUUGAUUCUUUCAAGUAUAUAAAUUUUCUAAUCUUUGGUAGCAGAGCCAGUGAUAUCUGAAGCUAAUACCAUGCUAGAUCAAAGUCUGGAAGCAGAAAAGGUCCUGUGCAGGAAGUGUAUAUUGGAUGGCUCCUGAGGUCAUUCGCGAGACUCCAUACGGGCGUUCUGCUGACAUCUGGAGCCUCGGGUGCACUGUCCUGGAGAUGUUCAUACAAAGACCUCCUUAUCCUGACGACAACUGCGUAUCAGCUUUCUACCAAAAUCGGUCGUGGUCAGCUCCCUCCGGUCCUGAGCUCACUGUCGCUGGUGGCUCGCGAGUUCAUACACAAGUGCCUCCGGGUAGACCCUGACGACCGGCCCUCUGCUGACGAACUGCUGGGGGACCCAUUCGUGGCGCAGCCGGAUUCAGAACAGCAUGUCGCCUGGUCGACGUUGUCGCGUUCAGAAUAAGCAGCUCGUUGCUUCUUCGACGCUGUCCCUUGUUGGAAGUUUCAGAAUCGUCGUAGCAUCGCCAGGUGAAGGGAAAUCUUUCGCGCUAGAUUCAGGCGUGAGAUUUGUAGAAUGUGGUUUGAGAUUUCGACAUGCUGUGUAAAAUAUACUCGGCAUCCAUCAUUGACUAUUCUUUGUUGCUUU